rnacentral:tRNA from 1 species
GCAGUCGUGGCCGAGUGGUUAAGGCGAUGGACCAGAAAUCCAUUGGGGUCUUCCCGCACAGGUUCGAAUCCUGUCAACUGCG